rnacentral:rRNA from 1 species
UACGUAGGGGGCGAGCGUUGUCCGGAUUUAUUGGGCGUAAAGAGCGUGUAGGCGGCCAGGUAGGUCUGCUGUGAAAACUCGAGGCUCAACCUCGAGACGUCGGCGGAAACCAUCUGGCUAGAGUCCGGAAGAGGAGAGUGGAAUUCCUGGUGUAGCGGUGAAAUGCGUAGAGAUCGGGAGGAACACCUGUGGCGAAGGCGGCCCCCUGGGCCGGCCCUGACACUGAGACGCGAAGGCGUGGGGAGCGAACGGG